AUUGAACGCUGGCGGCAUGCCUUACACAUGCAAGUCGAACGGCAGCUUGGAGAGCUUGCUCUCUGAUGGCGAGUGGCGAACGGGUGAGUAAUGCAUCGGAACGUACCGUGUCGUGGGGGAUAACGUAGCGAAAGUUACGCUAAUACCGCACACGACCUGAGGGUGAAAGCAGGGGAUCGCAAGACCUUGCGGUAUAAGAGCGGCCGAUGUCAGAUUAGCUAGUUGGUGGGGUAAAGGCUCACCAAGGCGACGAUCUGUAGCGGGUCCGAGAGGAGGAGACGCCACACUAGGACGGAGACACGGCCCAGACUCCUACGGGAGGCGACAGUGGGGAAGUUUGGACAAUGGGUGCAACCCUGAUCCAGCCAGGCCGCGUGAGUGAAGAAAGCCUGCGGGUUGUGAAGCUCUUUCGGCUGGGAAGAAAUCGCACAGGCUAAUUCUCUGUGUGGAUGACGGUACCGGCAUAAGAAGCACCGGCUAACUACGUGCCAGCCGCCGCCGUAA
rnacentral:rRNA from 1 species